CCUACGGGAGGCAGCAGUGGGGAACAUUGCACAAUGGGGGAAACCCUGAUGCAGCGACGCCGCGUGCGGGAAGAAGGCCUUCGGGUUGUAAACCGCUUUCAAUUGGGAAGAAGAGAUGAGUGCUAAUAUCACUCUGAUUUGACGGUACCUUUAGAAGAAGCACCGGCUAAUUUCGUGCCAGCAGCCGCGGUAAUACGAAAGGUACAAGCGUUGUUCGGAUUUACUGGGCGUAAAGAGAUCGUAGGUGGUUUGUUAAGUCGGAUGUGAAAUCCCGGGGCUCAACCUCGGAACUGCAUUCGAUACUGGCAGACUAGAGUAUGGGAGGGGUAAGCGGAAUUCCGUGUGUAGCAGUGAAAUGCGUAGAUAUACGGAGGAACACCUGAGGCGAAGGCGGCUUACUGGACCAAUACUGACACUGAGGAUCGAAAGCGUGGGUAGCAAACAGGAUUAGAUACCCUGGUAGUCCACGCCCUAAACGAUGUCUACUAGCCGUAGCGGGUAUCGACCCCUGCUGUGGCGAAGCUAACGCGAUAAGUAGACCGCCUGGGGAGUACGGUCGCAAGAUUAAAACUCAAAGGAAUUGACGGA
rnacentral:rRNA from 1 species